rnacentral:rRNA from 1 species
AUGAACCUCUGGACGCUCGAGGGGGCGGGGGAAGCCAUUGGUGACAAGGUGAUCGUCGAUCGCUUGGACAGCCGGACGCACGAGCGCGUCGACACCAAGCUCUUCGCAUGUUGGGUCUGGUGCUGGGACACUGCCCAUAUCCCCACCACGCACCAUUUGGAAGCAUGCCAGGGGGCGGGCCGCGUCGACGAGAUGCUGGGCCACUCCCCUCCGAGCCGCGCAGUGGCUCCUCCGCCUGAGCUGCUGCAGUUCGACUUGCUCCUUCAUCUGGACCGUGUCGAGGACUGGACACCGCUCUCGCCGCGAUCCUCGCGCUCCCCGCAGAGUGGCAUCCCCUCGGAAGACGACAAGCCCGACGAGCGCCCCUACCCCCGCACCGAGCCGGGCGUGUGGACUGUGCAGGUGGAGGACGGCAGGACGGCGAUGGCGCCUGCGCCUACCAUGCGCCCGCAGCCCCGCGUGGCCUCCACGGGCUGCCGGGGCAUGCCCUCGGGCGGUGGGGGGCGCGACCGCGACCGCGACGGCGACGACCAAAGAUACCAGCGACGCACCUGGAAGGACACCCUCCUCGGCCUGGGACGGGCAAAUGCUCCCCCCCCCCGGGCCAAGGAACGGCAGCGCAGCUGGACCCCGAUCUCCCGCCAUCGGCAAGGUGCGCCACGCGGAAGACACAUGUGCAGCGACAAGACUCUGCCCCACGCCCCCGGCAAGAGCAAGUAA